UUAGAUCCAACAUAGUAUUCUUCAAAAUACAACAAGUUAUCAACAUUUAUUAUCUUUCAAUUUCAACAAGUUAUCAAAUAGUACAACCUAGUACGAUCCCUCUCUCCUCCUCUCCCUAUUGAUCUUGAAUCAAGAAAACCCAUUAUGCAGCUGAUUCAAGAUUAUAUUGAAGUAUCAAUAGAAGAUAACGUUGAGUCAAGUUUAAUGCAGAGAU
rnacentral:lncRNA from 1 species